rnacentral:tRNA from 1 species
AGGGGAAUGGUGUAGUGGUAUUGCACUUGUUGUGACUACUAGAAUCAGUGGGUUCGAAUCCCGCUCCCCCA